rnacentral:rRNA from 1 species
CGCGUAGGCGGCUCGGUAAGUUUGGAGUGAAAGUCCUGGCUUUAAGUUGGGAAUUGCUUUGAAAACUGUCGGGCUUGAGUGCAGGAGAGGUUAGUGGAAUUCCCAGUGUAGCGGUGAAAUGCGUAGAGAUUGGGAGGAACACCAGUGGCGAAGGCGACUAACUGGACUGUAACUGACGCUGAGGCGCGAAAGUGUGGGGAGCAAACA